AAAUCAUGAUGGGGCAAUUUCUAAGGAGAUCCUUGAAUCUCUCAUAGGCUUCAAAUAAUGUUUCGGAUUCCCUUAUUUCAAAGGCUAAAAUUUCUUGUCUUAAUUU